rnacentral:lncRNA from 1 species
UCAAGUCAAGCAAACCAGAUCAGACCGUAGAGCAGCAGCUGCAGCAGUUCCGAGCUCGAGCUAUUUUUUACCCUAAAAGGGUAAAUAUAGGUAAAAUAAAAAUGAAAGAAGAAAAAGAAAAGUGGAAAGCUGUAACGGUGAAAACCGCUUAUCUUGUCUGGUUCGGAUGCAUACAAAUGUACAGAGAUUCGGAUUAGAAAGUACAGUGGAAAAAGUUAGAAACCCGUGACGGAAAGGGCGAUCUGCACGUGACCUUUUUUGGACGCAAACAAAGGGAAGAGCGAGAAAGUGAGAAGCGCAGGUGAACCGGUACCACGUGUUGUAUGGCUGAAGAGGAAAAUGGACACAUUGGC